CUAGGCAAUAUCAGAAUCUUCACAUUGAUAAGCCAAUCCAAAUACUAAUUUUUGACAUGAAAAAACUGAUGAAAAGCCUAGUAAUCGAGUCAUGAAAUGUUGGUGCCUCCUUCAGAAAAGCAUAAAAAGAAUGCUAUUUCUCAAUUUCCCUUAAGUUUCCUCAAGACACUAAUACAAAUAUAUUAUACAAAGGCAUCAAAAGUAAGAAGUAAACUAUAGCAAAUAGUCUGCCAAAGACCUGCCUCACCCUGUUAAACCACCUUAAUCUACAUUAAUAAUAUUUAAGUUUCUAACACGUGAAUAAUGCUCCAAAUGAUCACAUUCACAAUCUUUUUUUAAUGGUCUCUUGUUAAAAUUGUCCGAGAGUAUGCUGUUCUGUCCAAACAGGCUGGUGCACAAGGACGUGUUUCGUUGCUGCAACACAAUUUUGAAUUUUCAUUCUAAAAUUGGAAGAUGUAGAAGAUUUCACAUAGGAAUAAUACAGGGUCAAUUGCUAACCAUCUCCAAUUGUCGAGCUCUUUUCAUAAGGGCGUUGGACAAGAAUUUACCAGCAUGACAAUUUGGAAGUCAGAGCCAUUCUCACCAGUGAACUUUCCUGUGAAUUCUGUACCGUGUCAAAAUUCACACUAGUCAAUGUUUGUCGCCUGAAAUCUAUCGUAUUGCUCAACCAACAUCUGAAUGAGAGAUGUGGCGGCCAAAUCAACAAUUAUGCAAUAGCUUGCUCACUGGAAGUGAAGGUCACGUGGGAUUUGUUUAAGCCUUUGGUGGAUUUCAGAUUAGGAGGCCAUCGCUUCUGUCAAAUUUCUGGCCGGAGUUUUAUCAAACUGUCUUCAGGCACCCCAUCGACCAAUAGGCGUUCCCGGGUCCUAAUUGGCAGUUUGCAUUGUCUUUACGCGUCUUGGCACAUUUCUCUCGCAAAAAGGAUUCGGAAUUAAAAAGUUAAGAAUUAUUCUACAGGUUAAUCAUCACAGCAUGAAAUUAUCUGCAUAAGUUGAAAACAAUCACCUUUCUAAUUGUUCAAUAUUGGUGUGCAUAUGUAAGUUCAUUUAGUAUUUCAAUGUAUUCGACAAUCAAAAGAAUCAAGCAUGGAAUCAACAAUGAAAUCAACACGAAAGAACAAUUUCAAUUCAAAGAAUAAAAGAAUCAAGUUGAGAUUACACUGUACAUCUUCUCUAACCCCCCC
rnacentral:lncRNA from 1 species